rnacentral:rRNA from 1 species
GACAGAGGAUGCAAGCGUUAUCCGGAAUGAUUGGGCGUAAAGCGUCUGUAGGUGGCUUUUUAAGUCCGCCGUCAAAUCCCAGGGCUCAACCCUGGACAGGCGGUGGAAACUACCAAGCUGGAGUACGGUAGGGGCAGAGGGAAUUUCCGGUGGAGCGGUGAAAUGCGUAGAGAUCCGGAGGAACACCGACGGCGCAGGCAGCGUCCUGGCCGCGACCUGACACUGAGGCACGAAAGCUGGGGGAGCAAACAGG